rnacentral:rRNA from 1 species
CACGUAGGCACCAAGCGUUGUCCGGAUUUAUUGGGCGUAAAGAGCUCGUAGGCUGUUCAGUAAGUCGGGUGUGAAAACUCUGGGCUUAACCCGGAGACGCCACCCGAUACUGCUGUGACUUGAGUACGGUAGGGGAGCAGGGAAUUCCUAGUGUAGCGGUGAAAUGCGCAGAUAUUAGGAGGAACACCGAUGGCGAAGGCACUGCUCUGGGCCGAAACUGACGCUGAGGAGCGAAAGCGUGGGGAGCAAACAGG